CUGGUGUAUGUGAAGAGUCCCUUGAAGGAAAGCAUCCCAGAGAUCCACAAGAUGCUAGAGAGGACCAGGCACAGCAGAGUGUACACACGGUCCUGAUAAAGACCAUGGCCAAAGGAGAGCAAGGAGAACUAUAAAAACCCAAGGCAAAGACUCUGAAAGCUAGGCAAGCUUGAAGAAGUGACCUGGCCACCGGUGCCCCAGCCCUCCAGCACAGGGAUCUCUCUCCUCCAUGGUCUCAAUGGAUGGUUCUCUAGAAAAUGCUGGCUCUCUCCAGGAAGUAACCAGAUCCCGCCCUCCUGGGAACUUGCAGGCUAGUUUGGGAGACUACAUUUAUUCAUUCACUCAAUAAAUAUUGAUUGAGCA